CUUUUAUUUUACGACUAAUUCAGUUGUAUUACUAAAGCGGAGAGUGGAUAUGCAUGAAAGUCAGAUUGUAUUGAUACUCAGCAAAAACAAGGUAACUUAUCAUUACUAAUCAAUCCUUUUCUUUUACUGAAAGGCAAGUUGCUGUUGUGCUGGAGCUGAGAAGAGGUCUGCUGCCUGCAAUGGGUCCAUCUCUCUCAAGUUAUCGCAGUAUUGUAGCUCUCAAAUGAUGUGACUUUCUCUGCACAUGUUGCAGGUUCAAAAAAGUAUGGUGGAAGCUGUUGCCUAGGUUCCGACCAGAAAAUGGUGGAAGCUGUUGCCAAGGUUCCGACCAGAAAAGACAGCCAGUAUAAAAGGGUCCACACCACUGAUCUCUACUACAGGGCAUGGACAGCACAUCGAGCACCCUCGACUGAAGCCAACCUUGUCCCGGAAGUUGGUGCUUCACAACUUUGCGGCAGCACUUCGUUUGCACGGCCUGUGGAGACAAGGUUUCUUAGACAUGGCCAUGGCCCUCAAGGGAGAUGCCGAGGCCACAGGCAGUUCCUCCAGUGACCGUGAAAAGGUCCCCUGGGGCACAAGUCUAAUUUGGCACCCCUACCUUUCUCCUGCAGCUUUUCUGUCUACUUAGCUAACCAGCAGCAAGUUUAUCCUUGCAAGCAUUUUGGGUCAAGAACAACUUUCACCAGGAAGAAGUGCAAGACGAGUGAUUGAAGAAAAUAAAGUUGCUUCUGUGAUCUAAGAA